GCUAUUCAGCCAUUGCAUGCAAAAACGCCAUCAUUUAUUGGGGAUCAGAAAAUUAGCUUGUCAUGGAAAGAAGUAACUAAAUCGUCAACUCCAUCAAGCACCACUGCUGCAGGGUAACUGAGACAAAGCACCUUCUGAAGUUUCCAUUGCUACUAUUCAGGUUUCUGUGUUAACAUUCUCGGUUUGCCUUUGCAGUCAAAAACGAAGUGCUGCUACUAAUAUAUCUGGCGCCAAUGCAUCCAAAAGGGGUAGGGGAAUGGGAGGUGUACAAAACCAACUUCUUAACAAGGCAUUUGAAGGUUUAAAUGGUGGCCGAGGUGGUGGAAGGGGUGGUGGAAGAACUGGUGGGAGAGGUGGCGGAUGGUGGGGUCGUGGUAGAGGAAGGAGUUAUCGCUAAAACUGGUCUCGUUUACUGUAUAAUUCGCAGAAUAUACUGAUGCACAUGAGAUUGUUGUAACUUUUAAGUUUAUUUUCUCACCUAGUACUGUUCAUUCGUAACUUGCAUUCGAUCAGUUCUCAGUUCUAACUAGCUCUCUCAUUAGAUAUUAUUUUUCUUGGAAAGC
rnacentral:lncRNA from 1 species